rnacentral:rRNA from 2 species
UUAACACAUGCAAGUCGAACGGGAUGGUUCCUUCGGGAACCGGCGAGUGGCGCACGGGUGAGUAACGCGUGGGGAUCUGCCUCGAAGUGGGGAAUAACCGCUGGAAACGGCGGCUAAUACCGCAUACGCCCUCAGGGGGAAAGCUUUAUGCGCUUCGAGAUGAACCCGCGUCGGAUUAGCUUGUUGGUGAGGUAAAAGCUCACCAAGGCGACGAUCCGUAGCUGGUCUGAGAGGAUGAUCAGCCACACUGGGACUGAGACACGGCCCAGACUCC